rnacentral:rRNA from 1 species
AGUGAACGCUGGCGGUAGGCCUAACACAUGCAAGUCGAACGGCAGCACAGUAAGAGCUUGCUCUUACGGGUGGCGGGUGGCGGACGGGUGAGGAAUACAUCGGAAUCUACUUUUUCGUGGGGGAUAACGUAGGGAAACUUACGCUAAUACCGCAUACGACCUACGGGUGAAAGCAGGGGAUCUUCGCACCUUGCGCGAUUGAAUGAGCCGAUGUCGGAUUAGCUAGUUGGCGGGGUAAAGGCCCACCAAGGCGACGAUCCGUAGCUGGUCUGAGAGGAUGAUCAGCCACACUGGAACUGAGACACGGUCCAGACUCCUACGGGAGGCAGCAGUGGGGAAUAUUGGACAAUGGGCGCAAGCCUGAUCCAGCCAUACCGCGUGGGUGAAGAAGGCCUUCGGGUUGUAAAGCCCUUUUGUUGGGAAAGAAAAGCAGCAGGUUAAUACCCCGCUGUUCUGACGGUACCCAAAGAAUAAGCACCGGCUAACUUCGUG